rnacentral:rRNA from 1 species
GAUCCUGGCUCAGAAUCAACGCUGGCGGCGUGCUUAACACAUGCAAGUCGAACGCGAAAGCCCCGCAAGGGGUGAGUAGAGUGGCGAACGGGUGAGUAACGCGUGGGUGAUCUACCUUCGAGUGGGGGAUAACGUCUCGAAAGGGACGCUAAUACCGCAUAACAUCCUGUUUUUUGAGAAGCGGUGAUCAAAGCUGGGGACCCGCAAGGCCCCGGCGCUUGAAGAGGAGCCCGCGUCCGAUUAGCUUGUUGGUGGGGUAAUGGCUUACCAAGGCGACGAUCGGUAGCCGGCCUGAGAGGGCGGACGGCCACACUGGGACUGAGACACGGCCCAGACUCCUACGGGAGGCAGCAGUGGGGAAUUGUUCGCAAUGGGCGCAAGCCUGACGACGCAACGCCGCGUGGAGGACGAAGAUCUUCGGGUCGUAAACUCCUGUCGAGCGAGACGAAUGUCCCUCGGGUGAACAACCUGUGGGAAUGACGGUACAGCUAAAGGAAGCCCCGGCUAACUCCGUGCCAGCAGCCGCGGUAAUACGGGGGGGGCAAGCGUUGUUCGGAAUUACUGGGCGUAAAGGGCUCGUAGGCGGCCAACUAAGUCAGACGUGAAAUCCCUCGGCUUAACCGGGGAACUGCGUCUGAUACUGGAUGGCUUGAAUCCGGGAGAGGAGGGUGGAAUUCCCAGUGUAGCGGUGAAAUGCGUAGAUAUUGGGAGGAACACCGGUGGCGAAGGCGGCUCUCUGGACCGGUACUGACGCUGAGGCGCGAAAGCUAGGGGAGCAAACG